ACGGAAGGCAGCAGUGGGGAAUGUUGCACAAUGGGGGAAACCCUGAUGCAGCGACGCCGCGUGAGUGAAGAAGUAUUUCGGUAUGUAAAGCUCUAUCAGCAGGGAAGAAAAUGACGGUACCUGACUAAGAAGCCCCGGCUAACUACGUGCCAGCAGCCGCGGUAAUACGUAGGGGGCAAGCGUUAUCCGGAUUUACUGGGUGUAAAGGGUGCGUAGGCGGCACGGCAAGUCAGAAGUGAAAUCCCAGGGCUCAACCCUGGAACUGCUUUUGAAACUGUCGAGCUAGAGUACAGGAGAGGUAAGCGGAAUUCCUAGUGUAGCGGUGAAAUGCGUAGAUAUUAGGAGGAACACCAGUGGCGAGGGCGGCUUUCUGGACUGUAACUGACACUGAGGCUCGAAAGCGUGGGGAGCAAACAGGAUUAGAUACCCUGGUA
rnacentral:rRNA from 1 species